GCGGCUGGCGGGCGGCCGGCGCGUCACUCCGGCCGCGGCCCGCGACGCGACCGCACCGCGCCCGCGCUCGUGCGUCUUUACGCGACGUGUUCACGUGUUGUGCCAAACUACGUCCCGACAACUUAGUGCCAGUUUGUGACCAGUGACCGGGAGCGACAGCGGCCGCCCUCGCGGUGCGCAUCUGUUCAAACACGCGAGAUUUGUUUAAGUUGCCCAUUGAUGGAUUGGAAUGAGGUUCUACUUCGCGCGUGCUGUUUGAUGUGCUCAAGUAUUCGUUUCACGUAUGCAGAAAACAAACACAAGUUGGGAAACAAAGGAUACAGUACCCGGUGAGACGGCAGUUGCUUGCUCAGGUGGUCGGACACCGCUGGAGACGCCGCUGCAGCGCGGGCCGCCACCGCCAGCCCGGCUGUCAACAUUAUAAUAUUCAUAGGGCCUGGAAGAUUCGAGUGGCAUGGCGUAAGAGAAGAACAACAUGAGAGCGAGUGAGUCAGCUGCACGGUGGAGCGACUAGAGAUGCGCUCCAAGCAGCAGCCGCGACCGUCCUACCGUUGGCUCAACACUAAUGAAAACGGUUAGUAAUGUCAUUCAUUAUAUUUUUAUAAGAACUGAACAUACACGGAAUAUUCAUUUAAAUAAUUAUUAGAAAAUACAGGCUUAUGUUUGCACGCGUUAUAACCUAUGUUGCGUAUCGCAAAGAAUAGUAAAAAUCUAUUUUGAAAAUUAAAAUUUAUUAAAAAAAAAAUAUAAAUUGCAAGUCGUAUUGCAGUAUCUUAUAUAGGUAAACAUUUUGAUUGAACACUUCUGUUAAAUCUUUUAUCCAGCUACGUUACAGUAAAACCAGCAAUAAAAUUACGAUUACAAACACAAUCGAACAUUUACCCUUAACAUAUCAAUUCUCACCCCUUCAUUCUAUAAAUGCAAUUUUAAGCAUAAAAAAACAAUAAAUUUCCCUUUAACAAUCACCCAUUGUAUUAAGGUUCAAAAUCGUUACAUUUAAUAAAAGAGAGCAACACCGUGAAGUGACAGCGUUGAAUAU